AGCAGCCGCGGUAAUUCCAGCUCCAAUAGCGUAUAUUAAAGUUGUUGCAGUUAAAAAGCUCGUAGUUGAAUUUCAGGCCUGGCUGGACGGUCCGCCCUUCGGGUGAGUACUGUCUGUGGUCGGGUCCUACCUUCUGGCGAAGCGUCAUGGCCUUAACCGGCCGUGGCGGGGAACCAGGACUUUUACUGUGAAAAAAUUAGAGUGUUCAAAGCAGGCAAUCGCUUGGAUACAUUAGCAUGGAAUAAUGGAAUAGGACAAUGGUUCUAUUUGUUGGUUUCUAGGACCGUUGUAAUGAUUAAUAGGGAUAGUUGGGGGCAUUGGUAUUCAAUUGUCAGAGGUGAAAUUCUUGGAUUUAUUGAAGACUAACUACUGUGAAAGCAUUUGCCAAGGAUGUUUUCAUUAAUCAAGAACGAAAGUUAGGGGAUCGAAGACGAUCAGAUACCGUCGUAGUCUUAACCAUAAACUAUGCCGACUAGGGAUCGGAUGAUGUUAAUUUUUAAUGACUCAUUCGGCGCCUUAC
rnacentral:rRNA from 1 species